rnacentral:rRNA from 1 species
AGAGAUUGAACAUAAGAGUUUGAUCCUGGCUCAGAUUGAACGCUGGCGGCAUGCUUUACACAUGCAAGUCG